GGUCCACCUCCCACCCGUGUUUAUUUUACCUUGUUGCUUCGGCGGGCCCGCCUUAACUGGCCGCCGGGGGGCUUACGCCCCCGGGCCCGCGCCCGCCGAAGACACCCUCGAACUCUGUCUGAAGAUUGUAGUCUGAGUGAAAAUAUAAAUUAUUUAAAACUUUCAACAACGGAUCUCUUGGUUCCGGCAUCGAUGAAGAACGCAGCGAAAUGCGAUACGUAAUGUGAAUUGCAAAUUCAGUGAAUCAUCGAGUCUUUGAACGCACAUUGCGCCCCCUGGUAUUCCGGGGGGCAUGCCUGUCCGAGCGUCAUUUCUGCCCUCAAGCACGGCUUGUGUGUUGGGCCCCGUCCUCCGAUCCCGGGGGACGGGCCCGAAAGGCAGCGGCGGCACCGCGUCCGGUCCUCGAGCGUAUGGGGCUUUGUCACCCGCUCUGUAGGCCCGGCCGGCGCUUGCCGAUCAACCCAAAUUUUUAUCCAGGUUGACCUCGGAUCAGGUAGGGAUACCCGCUGAACUUAAGCAUAUCA
rnacentral:rRNA from 1 species